rnacentral:rRNA from 1 species
UACGUGGGUUGCAAGCGUUGUCCGGAAUUAUUGGGCGUAAAGGGCGCGUAGGCGGCCUGAUAAGUCAGAUGUGAAAUCCCGAGGCUCAAUUUCGGACUGGCAUUUGAAACUGUCGGGCUAGAGUGCAGGAGAGGAAAGUGGAAUUCCUAGUGUAGCGGUGAAAUGCGUAGAGAUUAGGAGGAACACCAGUGGCGAAGGCGACUUUCUGGACUGUAACUGACGCUGAGGCGCGAAAGCGUGGGGAGCAAACAGG